CACUACCUACUAACAUUACAGGCUUCUGUUUUGCUAUCAACAAAUCCAUAAAAAAUCGGAUCCGAGUAGUUUCAGACGUUGACACCAAGCAUGACUGUAAGCAAUAUUUCGUAUUGAAUAAAGUAACAAAGAAAAACUAUUAAAAUUGCAGUGUGUGGGCAAAGACAUACCUGUAGAGGUAUAUCAGGAUCCAAUUCAAAGGACUCUACUUUUUCCGCCCAAGAACCAUUUACUGAACUCGUUACGCCAAUCCACGAGUUGAUCUUGAAAAAGACCAGAACCAAAACCCCAGACGACACAAAAUACGAAAUAUGUUUCAUACCUUUAAGAAAAAUAAAGGUGCUAUUUAUAUGUAACAAUGGAAAAAGAAUGAUGACAGGAGAUCUUAAGACCAUACCAUUCUUUUGGGCAGUCACUUGGUAGUAAGCUUUUGUUCAGGAAACACUCCAAUAGAUAGCACGUUAACUGAAUCUGCUGUAGCUCACUAAGUGGCGUUAUUCGUUUAUAUUUCUUACACGACUCUAAUAGUGAAGGAAUAUAUUUGUCAAACAUGACUGUUAGCAUUGCCUUUUCGGAUUCA
rnacentral:misc_RNA from 1 species